AUAUUGGUCAAUAGCCUGACGGCUGAACCAGCAACUUGGAGGAAUGUAUGGCAAUAGCUGGUUGCAUUAAGUAAAAGUUAGUGUAAGAUCGACUCUGUCGAAUAAAAUUCUAGGUAGAGUUAUGAUAAUGACAUUAUCUAUCUAUGUGUCUUGACCAAAAUACGUGCCAGCAGUCGCGGUAAUACGUAAAAGACUAGUGUUAUUCAUCUUUAAUAGGUUUAAAGGGUACUUAGACGGUGGAUCAAGCCCCCAUAGGGAACUAAUAUACUAGAGUUUGAUGUAAGGAAGCAUGAAAGUACUGUUGGUGUAGAGAUGAAAUUCUAUCAUACCAAAUAUGGCACAGGUUUAGGCGAAAGCAUCUUCUUAUGUAAUAACUGACGUUGAAGGACGAAGGCUUUGUGUCUCGAACAGGAUUAGAUACCCCAGUAGUCUAAGCAGACAAUGAUGAAUGUCAUAGGUUAGAUUUAAUUUAUUCUAUAAAUGAAAGUGUAAGCAUUCCACCUCAAGAGUAAUUUGGCAACAUUGGAACUGAAAUCAUUAGACCGUUUCUGAAACCAGUAGUGAAGUAUGUUGUUUAAUUAGAUGGUGCGCAAAAAACCUUACCACAAUUUGAAUU
rnacentral:rRNA from 1 species